UACGUAGGUGGCGAGCGUUGUCCGGAAUUACUGGGCGUAAAGGGCGCGCAGGCGGUUCGUUAAGUCCAAGGUGAAAUCCCACGGCUCAACUGUGGGGGGACCCUGGAUACUGGCGGGCUGGAGUGCGGGAGAGGGAAGCGGAAUUCCACGUGUAACGGUGAAAUGUAUAGAUAUGUGGAGGAACACCGGUGGCGAAGGCGGCUUCCUGGACCGUAACUGACGCUGAGGCGCGAAAGCUGGGGGAGCGAACAGGAUUAGAAACCCGCGUAGUCC
rnacentral:rRNA from 1 species